rfam:Asian citrus Psyllid, Diaphorina citri - Florida Strain, whole genome shotgun sequence.
GCCAGCGGUGAUAGAACGUUAAAUGCACCAGUUUCCGAUGAAUCACUGAUGUCAAGCAACGUUUCGUGUGGUUGGUUUCCGGAUGGGUGACAAUUUGGAUAAUCACUUGCUGCCAGGU